rnacentral:rRNA from 1 species
UACGUAGGGGGCGAGCGUUGUCCGGAUUUAUUGGGCGUAAAGAGCUCGUAGGCGGUUUGGUAAGUCGGGUGUGAAAUCUCCACGCUCAACGUGGAGGGGCCACUCGAUACUGCCAUGACUCGAGUCCGGUAGAGGAGUGUGGAAUUCCCGGUGUAGCGGUGAAAUGCGCAGAUAUCGGGAGGAACACCAGUGGCGCAAGCGGCUAUCUGGACUGACAUUGACGCUGAGGCACGAAAGCGUGGGGAUCAAACAGG